rnacentral:rRNA from 1 species
UACGAAGGGGGCUAGCGUUGUUCGGAAUUACUGGGCGUAAAGCGCACGUAGGCGGCUCUGUAAGUUGGGGGUGAAAUCCCGAGGCUCAACCUCGGAAUUGCCUUCAAGACUGCAGGGCUUGAGUUCGGGAGAGGUGAGUGGAAUUCCUAGUGUAGAGGUGAAAUUCGUAGAGAUUAGGAAGAACACCAGUGGCGAAGGCGGCUCACUGGUCCGUUACUGACGCUGAGGUGCGAAAGCGUGGGGAGCAAACAGG